UACGGAGGGAGCAAGCGUUACUCGGAAUUAUUGGGCGUAAAGAGCUCGUAGGCGGCCUGUUGCGUCCGCUGUGAAAGCCCGGGGCUUAACCCCGGGUCGGCAGUGGAUACGGGCAGGCUAGAGGUAGGUAGGGGAGAAUGGAAUUCCCGGUGUAGCGGUGAAAUGCGCAGAUAUCGGGAGGAACACCGGUGGCGAAGGCGGUUCUCUGGGCCUUACCUGACGCUGAGGAGCGAAAGCGUGGGGAGCGAACAGG
rnacentral:rRNA from 1 species